GUUUACAUGGUAAACAGUCUGAAAUGCAUGACAACCAUGCCGAUUUGAGUUGAGCAAGACUCACGUUUAACUGAGUCACCUCUGUAAAACCUUAUAGUUAAGAUGGGGCAGCUAGCUAGCUGAGUGAAUUUCAAAACGGAUUGGUUUGUUGUUCUGACAACGACAGACUAUACCUGUUGUCCUCGGCGCAUGUGACAAAUAAACUGUGAUUUGACAGACAGGCGCGGCCCUGUUGCGACAGGGAGGUACUGUGGUCCACAGGUCCUGUAGCGAUGCUGUGGGACCUUGAUCAACAACAACAAAUACUAAUUUGGCAAUGCCCUAAAACAAUACAAGCUGUAACGUUAGUAGGUCAAUUAAUUCACACUAGCUAGCUAGUAUAAUAAUAACAAGAUUUAUUUAGUUCACCAGUUUUCUAUAUCAUUCUGAUUCAGUAGCUACGGACUAUUUCGACCAAAUAAAUGAUGAUUUGUCUGUAAAGCUCGUGGAUCACAGAUAAUAUAACUAGGUAACUCACUGUAUGUCUGUCUGAUAAUAUAACUAGGUAACUCACUGUCUGUCUGAUAAUAUAACUAGGUAACUCACUGUCUGUCUGUCUGAUAAUAUAACUAGGUAACUAACUGUCUGUCUGUCUGAUAAUAUAACUAGGUAAC
ensembl:lncRNA